rnacentral:lncRNA from 1 species
UAUAUGAAAUCAUGAAAAUGUAGAUUUUGUUUUGCAUGCUGUAAAAGGAUUACAUUUAUUUUGUUUAAAGUAGGAAGAAAGCUAUUUUUUAAUGCAAUCUGUAAACAAUUUCAUAGUUGUAUCUAUUAUGUGAUUUUACAUUACAAAUUAUGUCAUUCAAAUUUUUCUGAUAGUCUGUUAUUGUCACUGAAAGUGAUUAAAUGCCUGUAAUUUUCUUAUUUUGAUGUAUAAAUUUCUUUUUAGAGUAGAAUAAAAUUGAUGAUUUCAGAAAAUUAUCAAAGGGGUAUCAGUUAACUUUUUUGCAUACUGUAGAUGUAUUGCAUUUAUUUUGUAAAACUUGUGAUGCAAAAUGAUAACACAUUGCAAAUAUCAG